AUACGGAGGGUGCUAGCGUUGUUCGGAAUUAUUGGGCGUAAAGAGCGUGUAGGCGGCCUCGUAAGUCAGAUGUGAAAUCCCUUGGCUUAACUGAGGAAGUGCAUUUGAAACUGCUUGGCUUGAGUACGGGAGGGGGAAGCGGAAUUCCCGGUGUAGAGGUGAAAUUCGUAGAUAUCGGGAGGAACACCGGUGGCGAAGGCGGCUUCCUGGACCGAUACUGACGCUGAGACGCGAAAGCGUGGGGAGCAAACAGGAUUAGAUACCCUGGUAGUCCACGCCGUAAACUUUGGGCACUAGGUGUUGCGGGUAUUGACCCCUGCAGUGCCGAAGCUAACGCAUUAAGUGCCCCGCCUGGGGAGUACGGUCGCAAGACUAAA
rnacentral:rRNA from 1 species